rnacentral:rRNA from 1 species
CAUCUAAGCAUGAAGCCCCCCUCAAGAUGAGAUUUCCCAACUUCGGUUAUAAGAUCCCUCAAAGAUGAUGAGGUUAAUAGGUUCGAGGUGGAAGCAUGGUGACAUGUGGAGCUGACGAAUACUAAUCGAUCGAAGACUUAAUCAAAA